rnacentral:rRNA from 1 species
GUCAUAUGCUUGUCUCAAAGAUUAAGCCAUGCAUGUCUAAGCACAAACCUUUACACGGUGAAGCUGCGAAUGGCUCAUUAGGCCACCCAUGAUUUAUUAGAUUGUACAAUCCUACUUGGAUAACUGUGGUAAUUCUAGAGCUAAUACAUGCAAGUAAGCUCCGACCCUCUGGGAAAGAGCGCGUUUAUUAGAUCAAAACCAAUCGCGUCCUCGGGCGCGUACGUUUGGUUACUCUGGAUAACUUCGAGCUGAUCGCAUGGCCUCGUGCCGGCGACGUAUCUUUCAAGUGUGUGCCCUAUCAACUGUCGAUGGUAAGUGAUAUGCUUACCAUGGUGGUAACGGGUAACGGGGAAUCAGGGUUCGAUUCCGGAGAGGGAGCAUGAGAAACGGCUAUCACAUCCAAGGAAGGCAGCAGGCGCGCAAAUUACCCACUCCUGAUUCGGGGAGGUAGUGACGAAAAAUAACAAUACGGGACUCAUUCGAGGCCCCGUAAUUGGAAUGAGUACACUUUAAAUCCUUUAACGAGGAUCCAUUGGAGCGCAAGUCUGGUGCCAGCAGCCGCGGUAAUUCCAGCUCCAAUAGCGUAUAUUAAAGUUGUUGCAGUUAAAAAGCUCGUAGUUGGAUCUCGGGUUUAGGCUUGCGGUUCGCUUCGCAGCGACACUGCUUGUCCUGACCUACCUCCCGGUUUUCCCCCGGUGCUCUUCGUUGAGUGCCUCGGGUGGCCGGAACGUUUACUUUGAAAAAAUUAGAAUGCUCAAAGCAGGCAGUCUGCCUGAAUAACCGCGCAUGGAAUAAUGGAAUAGGACCUCGGUUCUAUUUUGUUGGUUUUCGGAACUCGGUAAUGAUUAAGAGGGACAGACGGGGGCAUUCGUAUUACGGUGUUAGAGGUGAAAUUCUUGGAUCGCCGUAAGACGAACUACUGCGAAAGCAUUUGCCAAGAAUGUUUUCAUCAAUCAAGAACGAAAGUCAGAGGUUCGAAGACGAUCAGAUACCGUCGUAGUUCUGACCAUAAACGAUGUCGACUAGCGAUCCGCGGUCGUUGUUCAUAUGACCUCGCGGGCAGCCUUCGGGAAACCAAAGUUUUUGGAUUCCGGGGGAAGUAUAGUUGCAAAGCCGAAACUUAAAGGAAUUGACGGAAGGGCACCACCAGGAGUGGAGCCUGCGGCUUAAUUUGACCCAACACGGGAAAACUCACCCGGCCCGGACACUGUAAGGAUUGACAGAUUGAGAGCUCUUUCUUGAUUCGGUGGGUGGUGGUGCAUGGCCGUUCUUAGUUGGUGGAGCGAUUUGUCUGGUUAAUUCCGAUAACGAACGAGACUCUAGCCUGCUAAAUAGUUCGCCGAUCGCUUUCUGUCGGCGUUAACUUCUUAGAGGGACAAGUGGCGUUUAGUCACACGAGAU